GUGCACCAGUCGAGAAUUUUUCACAAUGGGGGCAACCCUGAUGGAGCGACGCCGCGUGGAGGAUGAAGGCUUUCGGGUUGUAAACUCCUGUCAUUUGAGAACAAGUGUAGCCAACUAACUAUUGGCUACUUGAUAGUAUCAGAAGAGGAAGGGACGGCUAACUCUGUGCCAGCAGCCGCGGUAAUACAGAGGUCCCAAGCGUUGUUCGGAUUCAUUGGGCGUAAAGGGUGCGUAGGUGGCGCCGUAAGUGGGGUGUGAAAUUUCGGAGCUUAACUCCGAAACUGCAUUCCAUACUGCGGUGCUUGAGGACUGGAGAGGAGACUGGAAUUCAUGGUGUAGCAGUGAAAUGCGUAGAGAUCAUGAGGAAGACCAGUGGCGAAGGCGGGUCUCUGGACAGUUCCUGACACUGAGGCACGAAGGCUAGGGGAGCGAACGGGAUUAGAUACCCGGGUAGU
rnacentral:rRNA from 1 species